AAAAAAUCUGGAGAACACCUCCCAAAAAAAAAUCAGGAAGGGCCCCAAAAAUAUCGGGGGGACCCCAAAAAAUUCCCCAAAUUUUCCACCGAGGCCUUGGCACCCCAAAAUUUACCCUGAGGGGCAAAAUUUGGGAGGGAGCCCCCUAAAAAAUCAGAAUUUUCCCCGAAAAUCCCCAAAUUUGGGUUGUUUUGGGGUUUUCUUUGUGCUGGAUUUGAAUGGGGGACCCCAAAAUUUGACACCUCAAAUUUGUCACCCAGGUGUUAUUUCCCAGCGUUUUGGGGUGAUUUCUCAUCAUUUUGGGGUCAUUCCUGACCACUUUGGCCUCCUUGCCACCACCCCGGUGGUCACUCCCUCAGUGUCCAGCAGCGUCCAGGUGUCCGGCGGUCACUCCCCACAAUUUUGGGGUCACUUCGAGUCACUUCAGGGGUCACUUCAUGUCCCUUUGGUGGUCACUUCGUGGUCACUUCGCCCUCCUUGUCCCCCCUCAAUGUCCAGCGGUCACUCCCCACCACUCUGGGGUCACUCUCCACCAUUUUGGGGUCACUUCGAGCCACUUCAGGGGUCACUCUGUGCCACUCUGGUGGUCACUUUGUGGUCACUUCGCCCCCAGGCCAGUGGUCACCGCCUCAAUGUCCAGCGGUCACUCCCCACGAUUUUGGGGACACUUUGUGCCACUUUGGGGAUCACUUUGUGGUCACUUUGGCCUCCUUGCCACCAGGUGGUCACUCCCCAUGAUUUUGGGGUCACUCCCCACCACUUUGGGGUCACUUUGUGCCACUCUGGUGGUCACUCUGUGGUCACGUCACCCUUCUUACCACCACCCCAGUGGUCACUCUCCCCCGUUUUGGGGUCACUUUGUGCCACUUUGGGGUCACUUUGUGCCGCUUUGGGGUCACUCUGUGCCACUCUGGUGGUCACUCUGGUGGUCACUCUGUGGUCACUCUGCGGUCACUCUGUGGUCACUUCACCCCCUCACUGCCCCCUCACUCCCCUCCCUCCACCCCCACCCCUCCACCCCCGGGAGAGAACCCAGCACCCCCCAGCCGCUGCCCCACCCCCACCCCCACCCACCGCACGCCGGGCCCUCCCCCCGCCCCAACAUCAACGCAUGACCACGCCCCCCUCGGCCCCGCCCGCUUCCAGAACGUUCUGCGCCGUGGUUUUGCCGUGCUGCUCCUUGAGGUGCCGCCGGAUGGCCGGCUUGUGGGCGAAGCGCACGUCGCAGUAGGAGCAGCGGUAGGGCCGCGCGCCGCUGUGCAGGUUCAGGUGGUCGUGCAGCGUGGAUUUCUGCGUGAAGCUCUUGCCGCAGACGCCGCAGCCGUGCGACUUGACGCCGCGGUGCACGUUCAUGUGCCGGUUCAGGUUGGAGCUGUGGUUGAACUGCUUGCCGCAGCGCGGGCACAUGAACACGAAGUGCUGCGCGCGCAUGUGGAACACCAGCUUCUCCACGCCCUGGAAGCUCUCCCCGCACUUCCCGCAGCGCGACGAGGACGAGGACGAGGAUGAUGAUGAUGACGGCGUGGGCGUGGCGGUGGUCGAGGCGCCCGCGGCUCCUUGGCCGCCCGGCGGUUCCUCGCUGGUGGCCGCUGUGGCGUUGCCGCCUCCGCCUCCGGGGAAGAUGACCAAGCCUUCGCCCUCGGCGUCCUCGGCCAGGCUGUAGCACGCCUUGACCACCCCGAGCUGCGCCGUGGCGUUGUCCGGCGUGGCGGCCACCACCGCGGUCACUCCUGCCGGACCUUGGCUCACCACCUCGCUGGCGGCCACCACCGGCCACCUCCGGCCCCGGCGCCGCGUGGCCGGCUCCACCUUGGGGGGGGAAUUGGGGCACGAAA
ensembl:lncRNA